CUUGCAUAUUAAUUGUUUCUAACAUCAGGUUAUUAAUCAUUAUAACCUAAAUUUCACUUCGAAUCGAAAUGUUAUAUCAUUUAGCUCGACGAUAUUUAAGAAAAAGUACAUCGAUGAAAUUUCCCCUUUGUUUGUAAGUAGCACAAAAAAAGGGAAAUUUCCCUAACUUAACAACACUGUAUUUAAAUGUAAACAAAGUCGCAGAAGUGCAGAUAAACAACCAAAUGAAGCAAUUGCAUGCAACUGUUUUGUUCUAUGGCUAAUCACAUAAGCAACCAACAGAUGUGAUAGCCGGCGCAACAGUUGGUUAUUUCAUCAGAGUCUGGAACGUUCUGCAGGGGAUUUGAUAAUAAGGUAUGUUGGUUUUUUUAAG